rnacentral:rRNA from 1 species
GAUGAACGCUGGCGGCGUGCCUAAUACAUGCAAGUCGAGCGAACAGACGAGGAGCUUGCUCCUCUGACGUUAGCGGCGGACGGGUGAGUAACACGUGGAUAACCUACCUAUAAGACUGGGAUAACUUCGGGAAACCGGAGCUAAUACCGGAUAAUAUAUUGAACCGCAUGGUUCAAUAGUGAAAGACGGUUUUGCUGUCACUUAUAGAUGGAUCCGCGCCGCAUUAGCUAGUUGGUAAGGUAACGGCUUACCAAGGCAACGAUGCGUAGCCGACCUGAGAGGGGGAUCGCCACACUGGGAACGGGACCAGGUGCAAACUCCCACGGGGGGGAACAAGUGGGAAACUUGCGCAAAUGGGGGAAAGCCGAAGGGGGCAACGCGGGGGGGGGAAUGAGGGUUUUGGGAUGGAAAAACUUUUUUUUGGGGAAAAAAAAAAGGUGGAAGAAACUAUGCCGGUUUGAAGGGUCCCAAAGAAGAAACCCACGGCAAACUACGG